GAUCUCCCUCUUGCAAAAGCGAGGGCUACAGAACAGGCAUUCAAGAGUCCUGUGCUCCAGUCACAGCCUUUUCUGUUCUUCAGCUAGGAGACACCAAACCCUCAGGAAGAUUUACUAUAGCUAAGAGAAAACUGCAGCAGAAAGGGCGCGGCUACCUACUUCUUAAAUUACGUUUGUGGACCCUCAGACUCUUAGUCCCCUGCUCCCAGAUACAGCGGCCCUACCGUGGCUCCUGGCAAGAAGCAUGGAUCUCGGAAUCCCUGACCUGCUGGACGCGUGGCUGGAGCCCCCAGAGGAUAUCUUCUCGACAGGAUCCGUCCUGGAGCUGGGACUCCACUGCCCCCCUCCAGAGGUUCCGGGCCUUCAAGAGAGUGAGCCUGAAGAUUUCUUGAAGCUUUUCAUUGAUCCCAAUGAGGUGUACUGCUCAGAAGCAUCUCCUGGCAGUGACAGUGGCAUCUCUGAGGACCCCUGCCAUCCAGACAGUCCCCCUGCCCCCAGGGCAACCAGUUCUCCUACGCUCUAUGAGGUUGUCUAUGAGGCAGGGGCCCUGGAGAGGAUGCAGGGGGAAACUGGGCCAAAUGUAGGCCUUAUCUCCAUCCAGCUAGAUCAGUGGAGCCCAGCAUUUAUGGUGCCUGAUUCCUGCAUGGUCAGUGAGCUGCCCUUUGAUGCUCAUGCCCACAUCCUGCCCAGAGCAGGCACCGUAGCCCCAGUGCCCUGUACAACCCUGGAUCUUACUCUGUCGUCCAGGCUGGAGUGCAGUGGUGCAAUCACGGCUCACUGCAUCCUCAACAUCUUGGGCUCAAGCAAUCCUCCCGCCUCAGCCUCCUGAGUAGCUGGGACUACAGCUGCCCUGUCAAACCCUGUUCCUGA
rnacentral:sRNA from 1 species